GGGUGAUCUGCCUCGCACUCUGGGAUAAGCCUGGGAAACUGGGUCUAAUACCGGAUAUGACCACGGAUCGCAUGGUUUGUGGUGGAAAGAUUUAUCGGUGCGAGAUGGGCCCGCGGCCUAUCAGCUUGUUGGUGGGGUAAUGGCCUACCAAGGCGACGACGGGUAGCCGACCUGAGAGGGUGACCGGCCACACUGGGACUGAGACACGGCCCAGACUCCUACGGGAGGCAGCAGUGGGGAAUAUUGCACAAUGGGCGAAAGCCUGAUGCAGCGACGCCGCGUGAGGGAUGACGGCCUUCGGGUUGUAAACCUCUUUCGACAGGGACGAAGCGCAAGUGACGGUACCUGUAGAAGAAGCACCGGCCAACUACGUGCCAGCAGCCGCGGUAAUACGUAGGGUGCGAGCGUUGUCCGGAAUUACUGGGCGUAAAGAGCUUGUAGGCGGUUCGUCGCGUCGAUUGUGAAAACUUGCAGCUCAACUGCAAGCUUGCAGUCGAUACGGGCGGACUAGAGUACUUCAGGGGAGACUGGAAUUCCUGGUGUAGCGGUGAAAUGCGCAGAUAUCAGGAGGAACACCGGUGGCGAAGGCGGGUCUCUGGGAAGUAACUGACGCUGAGAAGCGAAAGCGUGGGUAGCGAACAGGAUUAGAUACCCUGGUAGUCCACGCCGUAAACGGUGGGUACUAGGUGUGGGUUUCCUUCCACGGGAUCCGUGCCGUAGCUAACGCAUUAAGUACCCCGCCUGGGGAGUACGGCCGCA
rnacentral:rRNA from 2 species